UACAGAGGGGGCAAGCGUUGUUCGGAUUUACUGGGCGUAAAGGGCGCGUAGGCGGCGCGGUAAGUCACUUGUGAAAUCUCUGAGCUUAACUCAGAACGGCCAAGUGAUACUGCAGUGCUAGAGUGCAGAAAGGGCAAUCGGAAUUCUUGGUGUAGCGGUGAAAUGCGUAGAGAUCAGCAGGAACACCCGUGGCGAAGGCGGCCCCCUGGGCCGUACCUGACGCUGAGGCGCGAAGGCUAGGGGAGCGAACGGGG
rnacentral:rRNA from 1 species